UUUGCAGCCAAAGACCUUUAUUGAUGAAAAUGGUAUCAACAAAAGGCAGUUUGGAAUGGGUUUCUUCCAAUGUUAUAUUUGUUCCUCCCAAGAUGUCAAGAGGAAGUAUAUCUAGAGUUUGACUUGAUCCAUUUCUGAUGACCCAACACAGAGCCCUGGAUUUCAGACCAGAAAGAAAUCUGGAAAUCAUCUAGAACAUUGGUGGCAGCUAAGGUGGUCUGUCUGUUUGUAAGGGACUAUAAAAUGAUCUGGGCCAAUGUGUCCAAGUGAUUUAUUAAUUUACACAUAGAUAUGAGAUUUCAGGUUGUUGCAAUGUUGUUCUUUACAUUGAGUCACAAUUGGGUUUGACGUGAACAUGCAGUUUGAGUAUUAGUACACAGCUGAGCAAUCUUUUGCAAUGACCAGGGGCCCAGGUCUUUCUGUCAAAAGGUUUGGACAUCAUUACUGCUUCUUUCUUAGAAGCUGUACUAUCGGCAACUACAGUCAUCACUGUGAUAAAACUUGCCAUACUUGAUUGUGUAAGUAUUUUGCUAUUGCUUGAAUAUGUCCCCUAAAUUACAAGUGUUGAAAACUCAUCUCCAAUGUGACAUUAUAAAAAGGUGGGGCCUCUAAGAGUUGAUUGGAUAAUGAAGGCUCUGUCUCAUGAAUGGAUAAGUGGGUUAGUGAAUUAAUAGGUUAUCCUGGAAAUGGAAGUGAUGGAUUUAUAAGAAAAGGAAGCCUUGAACAAGCAUGUAAGCAUACUCGGCCCUCUCACCAUGUGAUGCUCUUGCUCCCUUGGGACUCUAUAGAGAGACUGCACCAGA